rnacentral:piRNA from 1 species
UGGGACAUACAAGAUCCUACUGCUGC